UAGGGAAUCUUCGGCAAUGGACGAAAGUCUGACCGAGCAACGCCGCGUGAGUGAAGAAGGUUUUCGGAUCGUAAAACUCUGUUGUUAGAGAAGAACAAGGACGUUAGUAACUGAACGUCCCCUGACGGUAUCUAACCAGAAAGCCACGGCUAACUACGUGCCAGCAGCCGCGGUAAUACGUAGGUGGCAAGCGUUGUCCGGAUUUAUUGGGCGUAAAGCGAGCGCAGGCGGUUGAUUGAGUCAGAUGUGAAAUCCCCGGGCUUAACCCGGGAAUUGCAUCUGAUACUGGUCAGCUAGAGUCUUGUAGAGGGGGGUAGAAUUCCAUGUGUAGCGGUGAAAUGCGUAGAGAUGUGGAGGAAUACCGGUGGCGAAGGCGGCCCCCUGGACAAAGACUGACGCUCAGGUGCGAAAGCGUGGGGAGCAAACAGG
rnacentral:rRNA from 1 species